ensembl:lncRNA novel transcript
AGGCUCCCGAGCCUGGGGCAUGCUAGGAUUGUAGUCCCGAAGCUCUUGAAAGGGCGGGAGCGGUGAAGAGACUACAUACAGCUCCCAGCAUGCACAGCAAGGCCGGCACAACCGGACUUCGCCUUCAGGACUGCGCGCCGCCUCCUGUUCAUGCUGGCUGGGAUUGUAAUCCAUUCGCCCAGUGAUGAAAAAACUGGAAGCUAAUCAAAGACGACAACUCCCAUUUUCCAGAUUAACUCGAAGUACCCCACGACUAAACGCUAAUGAAACUAGAGGAGGCACAGCUUCAGCUCCGUGCAGGAUGGAUGCACAAGAGCAGAAUCUCCAUGGGACGCCUUUCUGGAGCAUCAGUAUUACUGCAGGAUUUGGAAGAAACAAAUUCAAAUAAUUUCCAAAGUAAGACACUGGAAAUUUAAGAGGAAGCUGGAAACUCAUCUGCCUUUAAUACUUUUUUUUCUCCAAGAAAAAAAAAGAAACUCUAAGGAGAACCUAUUUUUCACUCUUCUAAGUAGUUAAAAUUAGAAAUCACAGCAAGUCAAUAGAAAGCUCUGCCUUGCCAGUCUCCUAAAUCACAAUAUGGCCUUGGUCAAAGCAACCUAUAUGUCAUCAUACAAACUACAGGCUACGAUGAGCACCUCAUUUUCUUUCUGGAAGGCUGACCUUAAAUGUCCUGCACAUUCCUAUAGUGCAUAUUUACCCUUUUCCUAUACUAAGUAAGCCCUAAAUCUUGGCAGUAACAGCCUGGGGAACUACCUGUCUUGCUACCACUCAAGACCAUGCUUCUGUCCACAAAUUCCCCCCAAUAAAUUACCCUUUACUGACAAA